UACAGAGGGGGCAAGCGUUGUUCGGAAUCACUGGGCGUAAAGGGCGCGUAGGCGGCUUUUCAAGUCGGGGGUGAAAGCCUGUGGCUCAACCACAGAAUUGCCUUCGAUACUGUUAGGCUUGAGACCGGAAGAGGUGAGUGGAACUGCGAGUGUAGAGGUGAAAUUCGUAGAUAUUCGCAAGAACACCAGUGGCGAAGGCGGCUCACUGGUCCGGUUCUGACGCUGAGGCGCGAAAGCGUGGGGAGCAAACAGG
rnacentral:rRNA from 1 species